CUGGUGAAUAAGUAAAGCCCAGAUUCUUCUAAAACACUGUGAUCAGAAAAUGAAAGUGCAGGAUGAAAAACUAUGACUUUGUCCUUCCCCCCAAAAUCAUCUCCCUAAAAGAAACCACAUCCUUGCCAAACUGUAACAGAGCAAAACCCUAUCAGAACCAGCAAAGCAGCGGGCUCAAGUAUGAAUCUGGAUUUAUCAAAUAAUGUUUCUCAGACCACGAGCUUUACAAUCAUCUGUGGAUUCACUGAAAUGCAGAUUUCAAGGCCCAAUGAGCAUCAAAGGUAUUCUAGUUUCUGGGGCAGGGUCAGCUUUAACCAGCACUCCCAGGUGAUGUUCACUCAGAGUCAAUCAGAAGAAUCUCUAAGAAAAAGAAACCAGUUCCCUUUUCUCCUAUUUAUCACAUUACAGAAAUGGUCAUAAAAAUAAACAAAAUAUUCCACACCUAAUCUCAUAGCUUCUGGACAGAUUAAUAUAAGAGAAAAAAAUUUUGAAGGGGAGAUCGAUUUAUUAAAGUCAAUUUUGAUAAUUAGCAAAAUUUGAUAGGCAGAUAAUAAAAGUCACAUAAAAAAUAGAAAGAUUUAUGUUCACUUUGAAUAUAUUUUUAUAGUCAUCUCUGCUAUAACUAUUACUUCAUAAACACAUUUAAGUAUGGAGUUUUCAAACACAUUUCUUUAAAAAAAAAUCAACUUAAAAGACAAAACAAAACCAAAAUCAAAAAUCCAAGUUAGU
rnacentral:lncRNA from 1 species